UUUUUAAAACUGUGUUAACAUAUUCUUGUCUCAUUUUAAUAGGAAUAUUCAAGAUAGAAUUGUAGCCAUUUUCAAUGAAGAUCGGUGAUCAAAAUUGUUCUUUUUAAAGAGACAUUUUCAAGUGCAACAUGAAAGAAAAAUAUUGGAAUCACUUUGAUUUUGACAGUAUAAGGAAUAUAGUAUUUCAUGGUUAUUUGUAAUGGAAGCUUUGUAAGAUUCAUCACUUGUCAUGCACCCAACUGGGAACAUGGAUGUUGGUUUUUCUCGUUCCGCUGUUCAGACACUGUCAAGAAGCCACUGCAAAAACAUAAAACAAAAAAUUUCUCAGUGGGAAGGAAGGACUAAUGGUAUAUCUAAUCCAGCCAAGUGGCGUCCUAAAGACUUUGGAGUGAGAUAUAAUAAUUGUCACCAACAGAUUCUUCCUAAGAAAAAUUGUGUUCCUGAAGGUCAAAGCAAAAAGUUGGGUCUAACCAACUUUCAAAAUGUAGGUUUAGAUAUGAAUGAAAAUGCCAAAAGCCACCAUGAAAAUGGGGAUGAAAGUGAGAAUCAGGAAUAUGAUGACACACGCUGCUUUAAAAAUGAAUCAGAAUCCAACUGGGUAUGUUCUAGGGUCAAACAGAUUGAAAACUGGAAAGAACUUGUUUUGGAUCCAGAGACUUCAUUACCUCCAGGAAAUUUCUAUACCUCACAGAUAUUGUGGAAAAAACUAGAAGCAAUUCCCCCAGAUAAAGUCUUAAAUUUGACUUUAAAACAUUGUGGCUCUUCAGAAAAAGAAUUGAAUUUCAGAGUUCUGGAUAGUUCAUAUGGAAUAACCAAGAGCUUAGAAAAUAUUUACUCUGAACCUGAGGGGCAAGAAUGUAGACCUUCUAUAAAUCCUUUGCCAAAACCUCGUAGGACAUUCAGAUAUUUAUCUGAAUCUGGUGUUAUGCCAUGUAAAGAAAGAAACUGUGACAAAAAAUACUGUGAAAAUAAUUCUUGUGCAGAAUCUUCUUUGGCUUCUUCUCAGGAACCUGAACCAAAGAAAUAUGGUGGAAAAAUCAGAGGUAGAUCUAAAAGGAAAUCCUUUGAAUUUGAGGAUAUUCAGCACUUUCGAAAUCGGAACUCACAGAAGAUCCAUGAAGAACUUGGAAGAACUUCUGGUUCAGCACUUUAUUACACGCAGUCUGAGGAUAAUAUCUAUGAGGAUAUCUUAUAUCCCACCAAAGAAAACCCAUAUGAAGAUAUACCAGUGCAGCCUUUACCCAUGUGGAGAUCGCCUUCAGCAUGGAAGCUACCACCCCCUAAAAGUGCUUUCAGAGCACCCAAGCUUCCUCCCAAACCACAGUUCCUUCGGAAGACUAUGGAACUGAAAAGCUCCCAAGCUUAUUUACGUUCAAAGCUCACAAAGGAUACCACGUUGCCUGUCACUUUAACUGAAUGGAAACUUUUCCGAGCUGGAGAAGUUGCUAACAGGAAAAGGAGAAAUCUUCCAAGGCUUGUAUUGAAAAUAGAAGACAUUUUUGAAUCUAAGAGAGGGAAGAAGAAGGUAAAGUUACAUCCUUACAAUGCAAAGGAUGUGCCUCCCUCAAAAGGUAAGAAUUAUUUAUAUUUGUUUCAGCUGUCCAUAGCUGUCAAUGUAAGA
rnacentral:lncRNA from 1 species